AGACGACAAACUGGAUGAAACUUUAAGUCUCGUUCAGGUAGUGUGUAAAUCAAAAAUUCGAUGGGACUCGCAUCCGUCGUCCUCGCGCGGUCUUUCGUCCCGAUAUCCAGAAGCAGAGUUUGAAAAACUCUAGCGACGGCACGGGUGUCCGACUCACGACAACGAGGAAAGACAGCCGGUCCCCUCUGAACGGUAUAUUAUAUGAAACUUUAAGUCUCGUUCAGGUAGUGUGUAAAUAAAAAAUUCGAUGGGACUCGCAUCCGUCGUCCUCGCGCGGUCUUUCGUCCCGAUAUCCAGAAGCAGAGUUUGAAAAACUCUAGCGACGGCACGGGUGUCCGACUCACGACAACGAGGAAAGACAGCCGGUCCCCUCUGAACGGUAUAUUAUAUGAAACUUUAAGUCUCGUUCAGGUAGUGUGUAAGUCAAAAA